rnacentral:lncRNA from 1 species
AUGCUCCUUGGGCUGCAGGUGAGCAUCUUUACCUGGGUGCUCCUGGGAAACCACAGAGGUCUCACCCUCCCCAUCACCAGGCAAUGCCCAUGGAAAGCAGCAGCAGAACCCUCUCAGGCUGGCUCGUACACAUGCUUUAGAGCUUUUAAAUUUUUCACUCAGGCGAAAUGCUGUGGCUGUGCAGGCGGACGUGCCCAAAACACCUCCUGCAGACCCGGGUGGCCACAGCAGCUCCUGGAGCUCGGCAGGCUGCAGGUGCAGCGGGUCCCCGGGGAUUGCCAGCAGCUGGCGGAGGGGACAGGGGGCUGGGGGGCUGCGGGCUGCAGCUGGGACCUGUUAUCAGCUUCAGCUGCUUCAACCGGCUGCCAGCUGGCAGGGGACAAGCAGGGGGAAGAGGCACAGCGCUCACAGCACCGUGCUCAGCACCCACCCGAUGCUCGGAACUCAUCUGGGGACAUCAUCACCUCUGCCUCGGCCGUGGCAAAGGACAGCUCAGCCUCGUGGUGUGGCUGCGGUGAAGCCUGUGGAUGGUCGCUGGACAGAAAGCUGCAGAGACCGCUCCUGGGGAAGUCCCGGACGCUGCCCAGCAUCCCGCAGUCCCCGGUCCUGAGCAGGCUUCCCCUCCUUGACUCCACGGCAUAUAGGGAGGAGAUGCCGGAGCAGAAGUCCUACAAGAAGCACUCGGCCUCUGAUGGCCAGAAGGGCUGCACGGUCCCAUCUGCCGGUGAGUGCCAGGGAGAGCUUUGUGCCCGUUCUGCCUGGGGGCCAGCAAAAUCUUACCCAACGUGUCCUUGUUCUGCAGGGGUGCGAACAGCAAGGUAAAUCCAAUCCCUGUCUGUAGGGGGUUUAUGCUGCCUCAAAAACAAAUGUUCUUGGUGAGAUUUAUUUUUUUUUUUUAUCCACUUCUGAGGCUUUCUUUGAGCCUGUUAUUUAAACCUUCCCACCUUUUAUUACACCGAUGAAAAAGCCGCAUGGGGCUGCAAGAGCCCUUGGCUCGGAGGUGAUGCUCGGAGCAUCAGAGCUGGGUCUCCUGGCCACAUGUGAACUGCUGCUCCGGGUUCCUCCGGCCUCCCCAACAGACCCAGGUGCCUUCCUUCUGCAGCAUCAAGUGGCUUCAGGGUGCCCGUUGCUGUCCCCAUGGGGAGCAGAGGCUGGGUGGCACCGCGUGGCUGUGCCGUUGUCCUGGCCCGCAGUGGGGGUUUGCUGUGGCAGAUGCUCCCAGCCUGGGAGCGUGUGUUGGCCUUCGUGUCAACAGAGGAUUUUUUACUGUGUUCUGCUCUUGUGCUGAUCCUGAUGAAAUACUAAUAUGGUUGGACCAGCUGCUCUGAGCAAGUUUAUUGGCAAAACUGUUGAUGGGCAAAGUGUUUCACGCUUCUGGUGCCAGCAGAAUCACGCUGGGGCCAUAAGAACGAUGGGGAAAGCGAUUAGCACUGAAACAGAGAUAAGGCUCGCCAGCCAGGGCUGACAAUCCAGUGCAAAAUAAAACCCUUAUAAAAUAGCUCCCGUCUACCA